rnacentral:rRNA from 1 species
GAUGAACGCUGGCGGCGUGCCUAAUACAUGCAAGUCGAGCGAACAGAUGAGGAGCUUGCUCCUCUGACGUUAGCGGCGGACGGGUGAGUAACACGUGGAUAACCUACCUAUAAGACUGGGAUAACUUCGGGAAACCGGAGCUAAUACCGGAUAAUAUAUUGAACCGCAUGGUUCAAUAGUGAAAGACGGUUUUGCUGUCACUUAUAGAUGGAUCCGCGCCGCAUUAGCUAGUUGGUAAGGUAACGGCUUACCAAGGCAACGAUGCGUAGCCGACCUGAGAGGGUGAUCGGCCACACUGGAACUGAGACACGGUCCAGACUCCUACGGGAGGCAGCAGUAGGGAAUCUUCCGCAAUGGGCGAAAGCUUGACGGAGCAACGCCGCGUGAGUGAAGAAGGUCUUCGGAUCGUAAAACUCUGUUAUUAGGGAAGAACAAAUGUGUAAGUAACUAUGCACGUCUUGACGGUACCUAAUCAGAAAGCCACGGCUAACUACGUG